rnacentral:lncRNA from 1 species
ACUUAUUCUGCUGGACACGUGUUGACGUAACAAUGCGAAAAAUCCAAUUAAUUUCUUCGUUUAAUCAUAUACCGAAUCUUUUUUCAUUGGUGCUAAAUGCUGAGAGUUGAGAAUAAAUACAAAGAUGGAAUAUGCCGAAUUUUAUUAAAAUAGUAAUAAAUAUAUCAGCCACCCAUAAAAGAAAGUCCAAAUAUUUAGAUCCCCCAAAACAUACACUCAGCACAGAAGAUUUGGUUCUAAGAAAAUCCGAGUGGUGAUUUUGUAAGACCACGAUCGUAGACCGUCUGUGUAGUCUCCAGUCAGGCUCAUGCUUUU